UUAUCUCCUCUUCCUAUCCUCUCUCUCUCUCUCUAUACUUCUCGAUCUCUCUCAUCAGUCUCUGCGUCGCACGCAAACGGCUAAACGCGAACCUAUCCCUCCCAUCACCCUUGAACUCAUCCUUCCUCUCUCCGUUAUCCAUCUCACUCGCUCACCUCCGUCCAUCGCCCGCCGCCGUCGCCGAAACGAGCUUCGAAGCCACCGUCGUUAUCGUGCAGCUCUGUUCCACCAUCGUGCAGCUACUGUUUCAGCUUUGAAAGCACCGUCGCGCAAUUCGGUUCCAUCGUCGCCGGGCUUGCCUCCUUUUUCCGUCGAGCAGCUCUGUUCCAUCGUCGCCGGCACUAUCUCUGUUCCACCUGUCAUCCCUUCGGUCGUGCCCUUGUCCCCUUCUUGCUCAGGAUCUGCUCUGCUCUGUUCUAGGGCUUCUAGCUUCUAGGCUGUGUUUGAUGAGGAUGAGGAAGAUAAAUACAAGGAAAGGAAUCCGGGAAAUAGUUUGAAGAGAAAAGAGAGUGGCGGUGGAGGAAGAGGUUUGUGAUCCCUGUUUCAUACUUGAACCAACCUUUAAUCCAAGACUUGUUGAGCCAAGCUGAGGAAGAGUUUGGAUAUGAUCAUCCUAUGGGAGGUCUAACAAUUUCAUGCAGUGAAGAUGUCUUCCAACAAAUCACCUCUCACUUGAAUUGAUGAUGAAUCGCAUGCUGCAGGAGACUGACAUAGAUUAGUACACACAUUUUGUACAAUAGGUUACUUGUAAAGAUUACACAUUUUUUAAAGUAAAUGAAAGAAUAAUGACCAUUACUAUCACAA